GAUGAACGCUAGCGGGAGGCCUAACACAUGCCAGCCGAGCGGUAUUGUUUCUUCGGAAAUGAGAGAGCGGCGUACGGGUGCGUAACACGUGUGCAACCUGCCUUUAUCUGGGGGAUAGCCUUUCGAAAGGAAGAUUAAUACUCCAUAAUAUAUUGAACAGCAUCGUUUAAUAUUGAAAGCUCCGGCGGAUAGAGAUGGGCACGCGCAAGAUUAGCUAGUUGGUGAGGUAACGGCUCACCAAGGCGAUGAUCUUUAGGGGGCCUGAGAGGGUGAUCCCCCACACUGGUACUGAGACACGGACCAGACUCCUACGGGAGGCAGCAGUGAGGAAUAUUGGUCAAUGGGUGCAAGCCUGAACCAGCCAUCCCGCGUGAAGGACGACUGCCCUAUGGGUUGUAAACUUCUUUUGUAUAGGGAUAAACCUACCCUCGAGAGGGUAGCUGAAGGUACUAUACGAAUAAGCACCGGCUAACUCCGUG
rnacentral:rRNA from 1 species